AUCGUAUGGCAGUACAUGAAUCAUAUACAAAAUUAGUAUUUCUUGUUCUAGGAAGCAGGGAAAGCUGGACACUGGAGUCAGGAUAAGUUUUCAUUCAUUGAGGGAUCAAGAAAAACCAAGGGAACAUCGGUUACUCGAAGAAAAAAAGGAGAAAUGCAUGAUAGUAGAAUGAGGAAUGCUGACAAAUCAACUACAAAUCGUCCAGACUUGAUUUUAAGAAUGAUGCCAUUGCAACAAGAUGUACAAGAAGAAACAUGAGAGUGGGAAACAAAGUUGUUGCAAUUGGAUGAGUUGAUCUAGUACUUUAGGUUGUAGUGUUCUUUUCUAAAAUAAGCAUGCAAGUUAAAGUUUAGGCCUUCUGUAAUCUAGGGAAUGUACUAAAUUGAAUAAAUUAAAAAUGUUCCUUAACUUUUAUUUAUAUGUUAUGAUAAUAGAAUCUUACAGAUAGUUGUUUU